GUAUGCAAAUAAGCUUACAUUCGUAAUCAAACAUGAAGUUAACAUGUUGCUUUAGACCAGUUUUAAGAGCCGAAUCUGACCAUUUCAGUUCAACAAAUUGGUAACAGACAGAAAACCCCUUUCUUUCAAAGUUUGAGCACUGAAUCUAGUGUCACCUUUUCGAUGGUAGCUGGCCAAUUAAACAUAUCUCAUCAUAACCUCAUAGAGGAAGUUGACUACAAAGAGGAUGAGUCAAACUCAUCAAGUUGCCUUAUGAAUUCUUCUUUUUUGUUUUUAGAAUAACUCUGUCUUACAAGAUGAUGAACUGCCAGUCUCAUAGGAAGAGAAAAGCAGACACUUCUUUUCUGGAUAGAUUAAAGUCUCUAGAGGAUGGUGAAAGCAAAGCAAAUCAAACCAAAGAGACAAAUAUUGGAGAAGGGAACACAUUUAAUAAUCAUCCAAAGGAAAGAGAAAAAACACCAAAAAAGCCAGAGCACAAAAUCCCACUGUAUGUCAUCCAGUGCUACUGCAUCCAGAGAGGGACUCUGGGAAGAGCAAAUGCUAGUUCCUGGGAGCUGGGGAGAUAUGAUGUUCCACAAGUAGCUGUCUCCUUGUCUCUCUUUCUCUCAAGAAUUUUUGUUAGGUUGGUUUUUUCUACUUCUUUUGUGAGAACAUGGCAGUGGAGAAGGACUAAACAGAUGACUCCAGGAACUGGGAGCAAGGAUGUCAACUUAUAUUGCUUUCAUGCUAUUUAAUGAAAAACAGACCAGCUGCCAGAUAAACACAGGUGAGAAAGGGGGUAGGUGACACGCUGCCUGUGCUGGCAGGUGAGUAAUGACUGCCGGUGUGUGAUCCUGUGGUCUGAAGACUUUCCCAGAACAGGCUUUUCUUUGGUAGACCACAAGCCCUUUUCUGCAGUUGAACGCUGGGGGACCAGAGCACACUCUGUGACUACAGCACGUGUUCAAAGCAGCAUGCACAGCUGAAAUGAGGUGCAAAAUGUUUAUGCUUAGUCAUUAGGUCUUUGCUAGUACCCAGCGAUGAUUUAACAGCUCCUGGGUAAACACUGGUACUUCAAAGAAUGUUUGUGCUAAUUUGGCUUUGGAAAUGAGAAGACAGGUAAGUUGCAUGACCUCCGCUGAGGCAUCUUUUGAUAUCCUGCAUUAAUACUGGGGUUUGAUGAUUGUUCAUUUUUCCAUCUCAAAGGGAAUCCUCAGUAAUGCCUUAUUCUGCCUGCCUGCAGGCUCAGUUUCUCACUUGUGCAGGUGAAGUAUUCAUUGCAUACAUUAGGGAACAAAGCUGAGCCACUUUUUGUAAUGCCACAAGUGGGACAGAGUAAAAUGUAGAAGAAGAAUCAGUCGUGUAUUCACAGGUAUUAGAUGUGCUUGAAAUGCGAGCAUGACUUUCAAGUUUAAGUUAAUAUUCCUAAAAUGACUCUAAUGUCUCUUCUGUGCAAAUCCGUGUUUAUUGGUGGCAUACUGCUGUAUGUGCCUACAGUGCAAAGUACCUAUAGAUAAGGAUCUACAAGUCCCAGACUUCUGGGUCAUCUGUAGUCAUCAAUGGUGAUGUCUCAAUAAGCUUUCUGGCUUUUUAUGUCAUUAGCAUAUAGUGAAAUACUGUUUGGAAAGUAUGCAAAGAUUUCUCUUUGUGGCAUGCCAGCUGGUAAACCAGGCACAGCGUAGCCACUGCAAUGCACCCAUCCUAUGCAUAUAUGGUGAAUCAUUGCCUAUUUUUCCUGCUAAUGACUCAGCUGCUCAAGAUGUGGGAGUGACCACUUGUUGUGGUUUUGACCUGCUAAGUGGUAUCUGGCAAAAGCCGUGCUUGUGCAAUGUAUCUGGCAAAAGUGGGCUUGCUGAUGUCAGAAGGUCAGAGAUGUAGCUGGAUGGCCCAGAGCCAAUGCCUCAUCAGCAUGACCACAGAUGUAGUGUUGUUAUUUGCAUACUGAUGCGAGUGUGAUGAGGGCUCACAACAAAGGGGACUGCGAACCUGGUGAUUAUAUUCUGUUGCAAGAGCCUGUGCAGGUGGUCGAUUAUGGCUGCUGUGUUCCUUUGACACCUUUUUGUGGCCAUUUUCCUGCACAAAGCACAGAGUUAUGUAAGCUGUGCCAGUCAUUCAGUUUGGUACAUCUUGUUGCAGAUGAAACUGAGGUACCAUGGGAAACUGGGAUGUGCUUUUCCCAUCAGAACUGUUCCUCGUCCAGCUUCUCAGCUUCUGCAACUGCCUGUCUGAGGAGGUGGCUCUUCUUCCUACGCAAGCUCUGUCCCUUUCUCCAUCAAAGUCAGUAAAGGUCAGAGUUCACAUCUCAGCGCCCCCGUGCUUGGAAAUCCACCACAGGACUUCAGCAAUCUGGAUUCCGUGAAACAUUUCCCUUCUGUGCUUUGCUUGAGACAUCCUACUUGGCCUCAGGGAAGUCAUUUAGUUUCUCUGUACCUCAGUUCUUCUUCUGUAAAAUGGAGGUAGCAUUUCCACUCUUCUUCAGGGCAUUAUAAAAAAACACCCCAUACCCUAAAGCCUGAGAAAUGCAGACAGUCCAGUGGUAGGAUCUCAGAUAAAGUGCAGUUUUGUUUCAAUCUUGUAAAAAUCUGCAGAAAACUUGCAGAAAUGUAGAGAUGUAUGCUCACAAAUACAAAUGGGGUCUGUUUCAGAAACACAAAACAGUCACACUGAUAUUAUCUUUGGUAUUAUGAUGAUUCAGAGCAUUAUACUGACACCAACAACCCCUAAUCAGGAUCAGGAGAAAGUAAGUCCCAGCCUCUGUGCAAAGACUGAGAAGUCAAGGCGAACAAACCAUAACAAAGCAAGAAUACGCAAGUCAAAAUAUGAAGGUGUUGUUGCAUUUCUGUCUUGUAGUGUUUCCCUCCUUCCCUCCCUUUCCAGACUGCACCUUGCCUCGCUUCCCACCUCUCUCCCUGCAGAGGGGCUCUGCCCUUCCUCUCCUUCACCUCCCUCGCUGCUUUCCCUGCGGGGUGCCACAGUGCUUGCCGGAGAGCAGCUGCCCUCCACCCUGCUGCGGCUCUUCGGUGGAGAACCUGCACUGCAAGUUUCAGCUCAAAACAAACAUUCAUGGCUGAGUUAUGAACCCCCAGAGGGAUAGAUGGUGAAGUGGAUUAAAGCACUAACUCUUUGCCUUUGGCUUGAAGCCACAUUAGGACAAAAGUUAGAGUUUCAGAGUUAACUUUUAUUUGUCAGUAUGGCUUGGGUUUGAACAUGGCAAAAAAGACCAGGAAUGAAAUGACAUUGGUUGAGACGCAUUGGUGAGGUUUCAGGAGGAGCCUACACAGUGCUCCAGCCAGUCUGACCUAGUUACUGAUGACAAGUUUUGACAUUUCAGGAAAUGUUUCAACUUCGGAAAUAAAAACCAACACCCAUGGACAGCCCUCUGGAGCAAGGGCCUGUGGGAGGAGGAGACGCCCAGCAUGGUGGUGCUUGGAAAGCUGCCCUGGUUGGGGAAGAGGCUUCCAGGGAAAUGCUUGCAGUCAUCCUACACCAUCCUAUAUGUGGCAGUGGCAUGAGAAUGUCUAGGGGCAACUUUUGCCUUUUCAGUGGCUGGGCUGCGUCCAAAGAGUGGCUCUUUGCUGUACUGUGCCUGCAGGAUGGUGUCUCCUCAGGGUCUUCAGUUCCCCCAUGAGCUGCUUUGCAACCAUGCUCUGGUGCUGAGCUAUGUCUCUUGCACCUCAUGGACCCUGUGGGAAAUGCCUAGAAAAGCCCGUGUUCUGGAAAUAAGGUUUUAGGGUUUUUUUCCCCUGUCUGCUUGAGUUCUUCCUUUGGAUGAACAAAACCUUAACUGUGGAUCUAGAGAUGCAUGGAAGGCUUCUGCUCUCCUCACAUUCCCCUUAGGGAAGAAGGAGCAGUGCUGCAAACCUUUUGUUCAAAUCAUCCAGGCAUACUAAGGCUGAAUAACAGAAGGUUGUUUUUGUUAAAAUAAGAGGCAGAUCUUCCAGAAGUGUGUAUAUACACAUCAGUGUUUGCUCUUCCUCUCCCAAAUCAACAGCUGUCUGAGAGUUUUAUUUCAUUUGCUGUUUGUAAGGUGGGAAAGAGGAAUAAAAGCAUUAAGAAAGUCAUACCUAAAUAAUAUUUCCCUCAGGAUAAAGAAAACUGUUUUCAGUGUAUGGGAGUCACCAUAUUUGAGGAUGUUUAUAGCCAUUCAGUCAUGCAAGGAACCCAGGGCUCCUGUGGAGGCUCUCAAGCCCUUGGCUUGGGGUGUGAGAGGGGAUGGGAAGGAAUGUAUCUAGGCAGGGAGGAGGAGUGGCUGAAAAGGGCAUGAGGCAAUGAGAUCUGGAAAGAGACCCAGGGAAGGAGGCUUUCUCUAAAUAACUGCCUAUCUGGAGGGAUAUUUCAAUUUUUCUAAUAUUCUAAGCCACAGGACAGGAUGCACAGGUACCCAUGCUGAAUGGUAAGGGUGCUGUAAUUGUCCUGCACUGGACCGAUGUUUUCUGUCCUUUGGCAGUCAUCCUGCAGCAUCCCUGAUCCUUCAGACUCAGUGGCAGCUGAAAUGCUUCCUUUCAGGGAGCAAUGUAGGACAAGUAUUCAGUGGUGCUUUCUAGAGCCAAAGUAGCUUCUUCCAAAUCAAAGAAGUCUCUUGCUAUAUAAAAAUAUGCUACACCUUUGAAAGGAGCUGUUUGAAUGGAGGGUUGUGACUCAGAAUACUUAGAAAGGGUUUUUACCCCUCUGAUCAGGAACGCUCUCAAAUUCAGGUUGAGAAGGAAAUAGGAGGAUGGUGACUGUUUUCACUGAUCUCUGUCAGAGCAUUGAGGCUCCUGAUGGAUAAACACCUGUCUGAUGACUUGAAAAGCUUUGAAUAAAGCACUGUGACCUCUUGUUUCUUAAACUGAAAAGAAAGCCAGUGGGAAGAAAAGGGAGCUGGGAUUGAAAUUGUUUUCCAUCCAUUCUCUUCCUCAUACAGCUGCAGAGGCUGCACUAAGGUGUGUGUCUUCUGCACUCUCUAAAUUUCUGCCUUUUCUCUUCUUCCAAUCCUUCUCUUGCUCCUUUAGAGCAACAUUAUGGCCACUAUUUCUCACUGAUGGUGAGAAUACUACUUGAUCGACCAGAGAGGAGGAACAUGAAAGAAAGGACAUACCACCUUUGUGGUUUUUUUUCUUUUCUUAAUGUAAGUAGUCAGCUCGCUCCUAACUUCAGUUAGGCUUCUGGAAACAUGUAACUGAUGUUAAGUUAGAGACUAAAAAAAAUCUCACACUUAUACUGGUUCUUGUGCCAUGUUAACUAGUCUUGCAGGUGUAUAUGGAAUUGCAAGAAAUGCUCUGCCAGAUGCCACUGAGUCAAAAAAUAGCUAACCUUAAUCCUACCUGCACCCAUAGUCAUACGUACAUGCCCUGAGAGAUUAGUGCUGGUAGGCAUUUCUACAGGAUGCAUUUCUAACUGAACUGAACACCUGAAAACAUGCUGGCUAGAGCUUCUGCCAAUCACCCAAAUUGAUACACAAAUUGGGUAAGAAUUAUUCACAGUGCUGAUAAAUACCAAGUGAUUAGAGCAAAUAUGUUGCAGUACAUACAUGUUGCAAGUAGAAAGACAAAGAGAAGUGAAUCAAAAAGUUAUAAUUUAAGUUUUGUUUGUAUAGGCUUGCUCGUUUUUUGAGGACUGGCAAAAAGCAAGCUGUAUAGUACAUCAGUAUAAUAAGCUAUUGCUAUAUGCCUCAGGACCACUGAAAGGAAAGCUAAUGAGCUGCAUUGCAUUUGUUCUUUAAGCUCUUAAAAUGCAUCAUGAAUAAAUGUGUCUGCAGGUUCAUCUAGAUUUAUGUCACUGUAUUUCCUUGUGGUGUCCCUCUGCAGAGAACUGAGACUGUAGAAAGGAGAAAAGCAGGUAUAGUUAUUUUUAACAGUUCAUAAACACCAUGAAAUUAAUUUUUUUCUAAUGUGAGAAAAACAAAACCAAAAAAGGCGUGGAGGUCUGUAGAUUUAUAUCAGAAACUAGUUUGGCUUCACCAGUGAGCAAAACCUCAUAAUAGUAUGUAUAUACUGUGUGAAAAGCAGUGACACUCCUAGUGUUACUAUAUUAUAUUAUUUUGUGACAGAGGUGAAUUUUGCAGUAAUAGCUCACACACUUGCUUUUAAAAUGGGGCAUAAGAAGAACGAGCACCUGAUCCUGCACAGCUUGGCACGCAUGGAUGAAAAGCAGUUGCCUGGCAUGCCAUUGAUGUUAAAGACAUAUUUCUCACAAGCCUUGCAACUUGUACUGCUUUGUUGUAGAAAACAAACUCUGGAAGCAAAUAGCCAUAACUCCUGAUUACAACUGGCUGGGAAUUUUACAAGAAAAUAGCUUUCCAAUGGAAAUAAUGCAUAUUUUUCAAAACGGAGAUGUGUUGGGAAGCAGAGAGGUUAAACCCUUGCUAGAACCUAGGCUGAACUGCAGCAGAUGCAUGAAUGCUGUGAUGACCCCAGGUCCCACCAAGGGGUGGCUGUACUGUGAGUGACAGGUUCUGGGAGACCCCCUGGGCAUCCCUGUCCUCCCACAGGGCUGGGGGUCCUGGCAUACUCCUGAUGCUUGUCCAGGAGGGUCUGCUUUGGGGCAGCCCUCCCACCCUGGGCAUCACUGGUGCCUGUGUGCCAGCACGGCUCUGCAUGUUUCUCACUCUGGAGGAAGAGCUGAUGGCUGCUCUCUCUCACUUCCAAAACUAUCUGAUUUUCCCAGAAUAGUUUUCUCCCCCUGCUUCCCUAGGAUUUUGUAUUUAAAAGCAAUAUUUUAGGGAUAGGAAUUCUUCCUACUGUUGGGAAAAAUAUCUCUGCCAAACUACCCCAUGUUUCUCAGAAUGUUUUUCAUGUCUAUAUGUAUAUUUUGCAAUAUAUAUUAAAAAUAAAUAUUGUGAAACUUU